rnacentral:rRNA from 1 species
UGAGGGAAAGUUGAAAAGAACUUUGAAAAGAGAGUCAAAAGUACGUGAAACCGUUAACAGGGAAGCAGAAGGGCGUGUCGAACGAGAUACCGAACCUUCUGACCCGUCUUGAAACACGGACCAAGGAGGCAGAAGCUAUAGCGAGUCGUAGGAAACCCGUAGGCGCAGUGAAAGCAAACAGGUUGGACUCGCACAAUCGGCCGUCCAUUGAUGAGUUAGAGCUAUAGCUGCUGGACCCGAAAGAUGGUGAACUAUGCAUGAGCAGGGUGAAGCCAGAGGAAACUCUGGUGGAGGCUCGAAGAGAUUCUGACGUGCAAAUCGAUCUUUAGACUUGUGUAUAGGGGCGAUAGACUAAUCGAACCAUCUAGUAGCUGGUUCCCUUUGAAAUAUCCYUCAGGAUCGCUGUAGUUUCAUCGGGUAGAGCUAAUGAUUAGAGGAAUCGGGGAAAAGAUUACACUCGACYUAUUCUCAAACUACCAAUCGGUGAUAGAAUACAUGAUCUCAAGUGGGCCCAUUUUUGGUAAGCAGAACUGGCGAUGCGGGAUGAACCGAAAGCUGAGCUAAGGUGCCAAAGAGCACGUCAACAGACACCACAAAAGGAGUCGGUCGAUAUAGACAGCAGGGCGGUGGCCCUGMCAGUAGGAAUCCGCUAAGGAGUGUUUAACCACUCACCUGCCGAAUCGACGGGCCCUGAAAAUGGAUGGCGCUAAAGCGUGCCACCGAUGCUCGGCCUUUAUGGCAGGGUAAAAGGGCGCGACGGUGCGAUAAAGUGUAUAGCGUGAGCGUACAUGGAGCUGCCGUUGGUGUAGAUCUUGGUGAUAGUAGCAACAAAAUAAAAGCGAGAACCUUUUAGGCCGAAGUGGAGAAGGGUUCCACGUUAACAGCAUUUGGACGUGGGUUAGUCGGUCCUAAGCCAUUGCCUAAUUUGGCGAAAGGGAAUCCGGUUAAUAUUCCGGAACCAGACGGGGAAAAGCGGUAACGCAAACGAUCUCGGAGACAGGAGAGUUAUCUUUUCCCUGGAAUCGAGUCGUUCGGAGAAGGGGGAAGAGCAUUGCAUUUUACGUAGUGUCCAAUCCUUGAAAAUCCGAGGGAGUGUUUGAAUUUCCUGUCUGUCCGUACCGAAUCCGCAUCUGGUCUCCUAGGUGAGCAGCCUCUGGCAUUGGAAGAAUGUGGGUAAGGGAAGUCGGCAAAAUAGAUCCGUAACUCCGGGAAAAGGAUUGGCUCUAAGGGUCGGGCUGAGCGAGCUUCUUUAUGCAAGGCGUUAAUCGACCAACUUAGAACUGUUACUAACAUGGGGAAUCCGACUGUUUAAUUAAAACAAAGCAUUUCGAUGGCCGUAACCGGUGUUGACGAAAUGUGAAUUCUGCCCAGUGCUCUGAAUGUCAAAGUGCGGAGACGCAACCAAGCACGGGUAAACGGCGGGAGUAACUAUGACUCUCUCAAGAUAGCCAAAUGCCUCGUCAUCUAAUUAGUGGCGCGCAUGAAUGGACCAACGAGAUUCCCACUGUCCCUACCUACCAUCCAGCGAAAUCACAGUCAAGGGAACGGGCUUGACUGAGACAGCGGGGAAAGAAGACCCUGUUGAGCUUGACUCUAGUUUGAUUUUGUGAGAAGACAUAAGGGGUGUAGAACAAGUGGGACGACAGUGAAAUACCACUACCUUUAUCGUUUUCACACUUAUUCGGUUAAAAGGGAUAUUGACAGAAUCAGAUGGGGAGUUUGACUGGGGCGGUACAUCCUUUAAAAUGCAACGAGGGUGUCCUAAGGCGAGCUCAUUGUGGACAGAAACCACAAGUAGAGCAAAAGGGCAAAAGCUCGCUUGAUUCCGAUUUUCAGUACGAAUACGAACCGCGAAAGCGUGGCCUAUCGAUCCUCACCAGAGCUUGGUGCUAGAGGUGUCAGAAAAGUUACCACAGGGAUAACUGGCUUGUGGCGGCCAAGCGUUCAUAGCGACGUCGC